GUGGAUGUAGCUCAACGGUAGAGCCCUAGAUUGUGGAUCUAGAGGUCGCGGGAUCAUCACCCGUCAUCCACC
rnacentral:tRNA from 1 species